UUGUCACUCAGAUUUUUCGCUAUCCAAAUCGCUAUAUUCGACAUUGUGAACAUGUAAUAGUAGUAGUUGUUGAGGUACAUUAGGCAAUCGAAGAAGAGCAAUGGAUCCAUCCUUGACGAGACGGUUACUAAAUCACCUCCGAGUUAUGAGGGGUUCUCGAUCCGCUCGAGCUAUGCGCUCGGUGGUCAAAGCGAGGGAUUGUUUGGCGUACAAAAGCUUCAUUAAUAAAAGUACAAGAGGACAAUGCCAACUAUCGAAGAUCCACCUAAUUAUACGAGUGCCUCCAAGAAUAGCCGAAGAAUCUCCGUAGUGAUAGCCGUAUUAUUGACAUCGAUCACAAUCCUGUGCCUUUUGUACGUGUUUCUUAAUCAAGAGCCCGUUCUGAAGUUGGAAUACGGCAUGGACUCGAUUAUGAUGGUGCUUUUAAUCACCGAAAUGUUUUACGGCGCGUUUGUCUUUAUGCCUUGCUGCAAUAAACCAGUUAUUGAUUAGCGA